UAAUCCACCUUGAUGAAUGCCAGCUAGCAUAGACAUGCCUAUUACAAUUCUUUCACUGUCACACAUGCCGAAACCAAAAGUAGUCUUCUGAAAUGCAAUAAGCAAUGUUAGCAUUCAUAACAGACUUAUGAUAUAAUAGAAUAUUUCCCAAUAUAAACUUAUAUAAUCCAAAAUCAUCCUCGAUUGUCACACUCUAUUACUACACACCUACUUUCUAUUGUCUUAUAUCUACUGUGAUCAAAUAAAGCUUAUUUUAACUUCCUUAAAUGCAUAGGGAUGACUUAUUAGCUCUAAUAGCAACAACAUGGUCAGAGGUUGUGGGACAGGGA
rnacentral:lncRNA from 1 species